rnacentral:lncRNA from 1 species
GCUUUCCUCCCUCCCCUCCCAUCUCCUAAUGAAAUCCCCCAAGCCCUCCUCGUUUCUCCCCCGCCCCUAAAGGGCACUCACAUGGGCGUGCUCUCAGGGACUUUGUCUCCUACAGCUGAAGCAGCAUAGACUGUCAGGAUGGGAAAAUCUUUGAUCUGCCAAGGUUGUGGGUGGCAGAGUCUUCUUUAGUCCUAAACCUCUCCAGAGCCUCUUCGAAGCCCUUCUCACUCCCACAUGUGCUGCCAUUUGAUCUGGGGCAUCCCCCAGACCUACUCCUGCCUCCCCCUCCUCCCUUACCCUGCAAUUGCACGUUCUUGCACCUAGCCUGGCCAUGUGCCUUUGCUGAGCUGCUCUGAGCUGAGUCCAUGUUAUUCCUCCAAAAACAGAAGAUCAGCCUGGGGAAGAAAUUCAUGGUAGGUGAAACAGCUCAUCCCAGUAUGAUCCACAGCACAUGCAUACAGGAGACAGAUGAUGGCCGUGAAUUGUUACAGGGCAUCACAGAGAAAGCCCACCUUUGCUUUCUCUAAGCCUUCUACUUGCAGAGGGUCUUAAAUACGAGGCUUAGCUGAGCGUCAGUGGCCACUUUUCAUCGGUUAUAAACAUUAGUCGCUGCACAUAUUGCUGACAGCAUGGCCUGACAGCAUGGCAGGAGAGGGCUCUGCAGUGGUGGUGCAUGAGCUGGCACAAGCUCCCUCCCUGAUUUUAAUUGCAAAGCUGUCCAUUAAAAUUCUGGCCUCUAAGAAAGACCCUGAAGUUUUGCUAGUUUCCAAAAACUAGUGACUUGUCCUCUGGUUCAAUGACCCUGGGGGACACUGCACGUUGCCUUGACUUCCCCAGCAAUAGGAUGGGGAUACUACUGAACAUCAAGUUCUCGGAGCUCAGCAAAUAGAACAUGCCACAAAAGAUCUUGACUGCUACACUACACUGUACUAUACUACACUUAAUAGAAAGACUGGAAAAGGCCCCAACACACUCUGACCCACCACCAGCCAGCUGGACUGGUUAUGGGCUGCUCAGCUAGGAAGAAAACAAAAUUGCCACAGCUCAUGCCAGCCGGAUGAACAAAGCACACCAUACGAUAGGGCUCGUGAUUGCAGAACAUGGGCCUGCAUGGGUCUGAAGGCCUCCAGCCCUGGGCAGCGAGUGCCAACGAGGGGCUCUGUCUGUGCUCCCACACUGCGGCUUGGUUGUGCUCAUCCUCCAUCCCCUGCAGAAAAUGCAAUUUCUCUGCACAGAGAAAGCGACUUCCCCUCCUCGGUGCCUCUGUCUUUUUUGCCUCCCAUUGCACACAAAAAUGCUGACGGAUUUCCCUGAUCACUAGCCAUGCUGGCUAGUGGCUAGAGCAGUUCAUUUCAGACCCUGCACAGGUAUUUCUUACCAUAUAUUAUAGUGAAUAAUGUAUCCCCAGCCAUGCAGCACAAGGCUUAUAAGGCUAUCUCAGUAUUCUGGUGACAGCUUUAAACCACUCGACCAUUGACCAUUCAGGUCUCAUGGUUUAUAGAGUCACCAGCACACCUUGACAGGGUUAUAGCCUACUUAUUGGUAUAAAGCAUGGUUAGGGAUACAUUAUUAUAGCACGUUGCUUCUGAAACAGGGCUGUGGGCCACCGGUGGCCUAGAGAGCCCUUGCUGGUGAUCUGCGAGGGGCUGUGUGAUGUGGACAGCACGAUUAACAUCUACCUGCUAAAUCGCAAGGAGCAAUUGCUGGAGUGACCCGAGGGACUGCACUCACUCAGACCCACGAGGACAGGUGCCCCUGAGAAGAGAGGGGCUCCGAGUUUCCUGUUUGCUAUGGAAACGGGCACUCAGGUGUUCCUGAGGAUCUCCCUUCGACACUGAUGGCCCAAAUGCUGCAGUCCUCAUGCUCUCUUCCUACCCAGCAGGCAGCUUGUGGUUGUCACCGGGCUGAAAAAGGCUUUGGUGAGAGCUGCCUCUCCUCUGCAUGGCUUACAUCCAUCUUUCUGGGCGGCUUCAGGCUGGAUGCAACCUGUCUUGCUUCUGUGCAAAUGCCAAUUUGGUUUGGCUCAUGUAGAUGCUCAUUAACGAUUACUAGAGUUAAGGCAGUUAAUCACUACAGCUGAGGCUGAAAUCUGACUUUUCUUCUAAUUCCCGUCUUUGCAAAUUUCCCACUUUCCACAGAAAGGUUUCUUCCCAACAGCCAUUUCCAGACUUGUUCUCUGCAAUGAUGAUUUUAUUGCAAAGUUUCUGAGGAUUAUCUGAAUUACCUUCCAAUGCAACAUGCUCUUGCUGUAUUUGUUACUGCAGAGCUGAGAUGAUUUAACAAACAACUCAGGUUAAAAACAUUGACCUCAGGUUCCUUCCUGAUCUCAUUUGAUUUGUUAAAUAUUGAGCCAAAUGUGGAGAAAAAUUAGCUUGGUACUUUGAAAGUCCUCAGAACUGGAACUCAGCAAUAAUGCAGCUGUGCUUUAAAAUUUCUCUGCUUGCAUUCCCUCUUUAAGUGCUAUUAAAGGAAAUAUUUGCGAAGGAUAUUUCAGUUAUAGGGCUGGUUAAAUGGAUCCAUUACGGAAUUACUACAUGCCAAUGUUCAGGAUGCCUCUGAAACAAAUGGACUCAUUUUCUCAAAUGUUAUGUUUAAGUCUCGGAGAGCUCUCGACCACAGCCCUGUUUGACAUGUGCCUCCUCACUGCCUUCUCCUGGUUUCCCCCACAGCCUUGAUCUCUCGAAGAUUUAUGCAUGUGAUUAGCUUUAAGUGUCUAAAUAGCCUCUCCGAGCUCCGCAGGACGGCUGCAGGCAGCGGGGUGAGCUGAGAUGGGGCCAUGGUUGGUCCCCACACCUCCCUGGGUGUCACCACUGGAUGUGCACAGCUUGGGCUCCGCCAGCCGCACAGACCUGACUGGAGCAGGAGCCGGCAAUGGGCAAGACAUGGAGGAACAUGGAGGCAACAUUUCCUGAAACACAGCUACUUCUGGGAUGGAAAAGCAUCAGUCAUCACACAGCAGGAUUUCUUGGAGGAGAAAUGAUAACUCUUUUUUUUUUUUUUUUUUCUCCCAUUUGAACUGCAGGCUGGAAUAUAGGCCGGCAGAAUGUAAUUAUCCAGGCUGGAAUUUGGCCAAGACGCUGGGGCUAACAGCCCUACUGUUUCAAAAUAUGCCACAGUACCCUAAAUGAUCACAUCUUGCAGGAUUUGAUUUUGCAUUUCAUCCAAAACAAUGUUGGGAAGGGAAGGAGGAGAGAGGAAUGAACACAAAGCGGUCCCAUCUAACCCCGUAUCUGCUGGAAGUUUAGCCCAGAGCAGCUCCUGACAUUCACUUUCAUUUUCAGUGAAAACAUUGAAACAAGACUGAGUUUUACUCCUUUUGUAAAUUCUCCGCAAGCAGUUUCCAGCCUCCUCGGUGAAAAAAAUACAUCAACUUUCAGAAGGUAAAACUACAAUAAAGCAAGACAUUUCCAUUUAAAAGAAAAAAAAGGAAAAGAAAAAAAAAGGGAGAAGGGUAUUUCUUUCCUCUACAACAAUAUUUGAGAGAGACCUUCUCUUUUCCCUUUUUCUUUUUUUAAAGCCUGUUAGGAAAGAGGAUUAAGAUAGCUAAUGGGCGGCUUGUAUUGGCAAACAAAACUAACACCCAGACGAUUCUUUGCAUGCACAAGUGGCAGGCCCUCCAUUAGGAGAGUGGCACUGACCGCGGCAGGAUGGAGAGCACUGAGCCGCGGGGUAAACAAACCUCGGCCUGGGCCCGUGUGUGGCUCUGCCCGGAGCCCUGCCAUGGUCCUCCCCAGAUAGCUCCAAAUGGUCUCUGUUGUUUGGAAUGCUAUGCAAAUAUUGGCAGAAGCACGUACCGCGGAUCCGACCACAGCCCAACUUCGGGGAACGCAGCGUCGGGAUUUGCCGUUGCUCUUUUUUACUUCAGUGAAUAAAGUUUAUUUGCUGAAUGAACGGUGCCCGCAGCUGACAGGCUGCUGGCUAGCUCAUGCCGAAUUUGGCCAGUCACCCGCCAACAGGGAAAAUCUAAAUGGAAAUGGCAAUUUUGAAAAGUCAAAAGGUUUCGCUUUAUACGUCGGGAAAAGAAUAAUUGCAAUUGAUUUUUCAUGUUGAGAUGGUCUUCCCUGUGCGAAAUAGCUGCUUUUUUAGAAAAGACAGUGGCCAUCAACGUAUCUCAUUCGGCCUGGAUAACUUACAGCGCCCUUCUGUUUUACUGAAAUAUCUCAGGAAAAAAAAAAAAACCCUCCUCAGGUUAGCCAGAAAAAGCCAAAACUGGAUUUUCAGUUGGACAAAUGGAAGAAAAAGUAAUGAUUCUCAAAGUCCUAAUGAACCAACCCAGUAUUGUACUUGGUGGCACCUCUUGACGCUUGCUAAAGUCAGCUCUCAUCAUGAGCCUUGCUUUAAACCUCCUCCAUGUAACAUCACACACCUGCAGACAAGAGAGUUUUCUCUGCCAUCAGUCCCAGUAAGCAGCCCUCCGACCCGAGCAUGCCAGCUCCAGCACCUGCAGCAACAGAGGGAUGUUCAGAAGCCAGUUUGGGUGUCAGAGCUGCCAGGAGCCCAGAGGAGAGCAUGGAGCGUCCUAUCAGCUCUGUAUAGGAACCAAAACUGCCUGGCUCCCUCCUGGUUUCCAUCACAUCUCUCUCUACCAUCUUGUAAAGAAGGAAGAUAAACUGAAAUUCAGGAAACAUCAAGUUCAGUUUUUAAUUUGUAGGCAAUUUGUAUUUUACUACUGAAUAUCAAGGUAAUUCCUUUGAUUUCCCAAAAAGAUAAGCAGAUCCUAAAAAGCAGUGUGUCUUUUAGAAAGGAUAUCUGACAGGCAGCCUGCACCACAAGCAAACGAUUCCCACGUUGUGAUACGUAAUGCCCAGUAAGUUCUGCAUGAGAGCUGGAGCUGCCCACUGCACAAACACAAUUCUGCCUGCCGAGCGCCCCGCUCAUUCAUGGUACCUGUUCUGCAGUUUUGUUCCUGUUCAGAAAAAUACCAAGCCUCUUACUUGACCGAUGCGGUGCCACAGGCAGUCUGCAAACACAAACACCCUUGUUUGGAGAAGAUACGCCCUGGCUGAUUUGAAAAAUCCCUAAGCAAUGCAUUCAAAAUGAAUCAGAUUUGAUUCAUGACCGAUUGAGUAAGGGCAGAGAAUGGAGGGCCCGGCACGGGUACACAAACGUGGACGAUCGUACGCUCAGUUCACUGCAGCGCAUUGUGCGCCUUCUUCCAUUUCCCUUCUUGUGAAAUUCCCAGCGGGACACUUUCCUGCGAGGGCUGUGCUGCGAGGCAGAGGGCACCAAGUGAACAUGGGAGCAAAAUCACAAAGCCACGUCCAUGGGAUUCCCUGUUGCGGCUGAAGGUGCUGACCCUGGGUUUGUGCGUGCACGUGUGUUUGCACGCUCCGGUCGCACACACACGGGAGCACGCACGCACACUGUGAAAACGUAUGUGCAUAUAUUCCCAUAUUCACAAUGAAUUGUUUAUGAGCAAGCUAUCAAGAAGGAGUUUUCACUGAAAUUAUUCAGUGAAUGACUUCAGACAAUGAAUACAUUGCAGGAAAUGGCGAUUGGCUCCAGAGCAAUCCACGAGCAGAAAAGGAGGCAAAAGCAGUUGAAUAAAUGGGCGGCUAUGAAUUACUCAUUUAGCUGCAUUAUCUUAUUGUGGUCCCAAUUCAGCAAAUGCCUAAACAUCCACUUCCCAUUAAGGGCAUGAAUAGUCCCAUUGAUUCAAUAGGGUUAUUUUCUCUGCCUUCCGUGGGGCAACUCGAAUGCUUAAAUUUAAGCAAGUGCUUAAAGUGCUUUGCUGAAUCAGGAGGUAUGUCCACGCUGUAUAUACCUGUGUUAUACAGAAGGUCAGAUUAGCUGAUCAAAGAGUCCUUUAUGCUCUUAAGAUCUAUAAAUCUGUGAAUAUAACCAGCCUUUGCUGGAAUUGCUCCUCCAUAACCUUCCCGAGCACUGAAAUUCAUCCACACCCCAAAAAUAUUAAUAAAACACUCUGUGCUUAACUCUUUUCAUAUUAUACUAAGUACGCCACUAAAUAAACCUCUUAAUAUUCCAGUAUAUUUUGCAAUGAACAUUUUCCUGGUACGCUAGAGCGAUUCCUCCUUUUGUGCCAUCCAGAACACAAUCCCCAUGAAAUACUGCAGUAAACAUUUCUCUGAGUACUACAGCAAACACUACCAGCAUUAGCAGAUUAACCAUUCCACUGAGCGCCAUAUUAAGCACACAUUUAAAUACUGAGAAAAGACGUAUAGCCUCCUCCUUCCACCGCGCCUCGUUACCCUGCCGAGAUCCAUAUUUCUCGGCAUCCCCACGCGUACCCGCGCUGCUCCCGCUCCUCUCUUUCUCUCCUCCUUGUUUUGUUCCUCCUGGGAGUGCUCUUCUGGCUGGGGAAAUCUUUCUUGGGGCAGAGGGGGGACGAAGGGAGGGCAGAUUGGCGCAUUGUUCAGCCACAGAAUCGACAGCGAAUCCACACUGCGUGCGUGGAAGUCUCUGCUCUGAUGAAGUCUGGUGGUGGAGAAAGACAGGUUACCUGCUGGUCUCCCUCCCCUGACCAAAAGAAGUACGCAGUACUCUGAAGUAGCAGGUCUUCCCUAGUGCAGUUUGGAGUUAUAAAGCAUUGUUUGGGUUUUACAGGUAUAUUUUAAUGUCAGUGAAAUUGCCAAGCACAACACCUUCAGUGGAUUCAUCCUCAGCAAGUGUUUAAGAGCCAUUGACUCGUCUCUUGUUGCUGACAAACCAUCUAGAUUCAACCCAUGGUUCUGCUCAGCUUUUCUCCUUUCCCUCCUCUCUCUCUUUCUCUCUCUUUUUUCCUCUUUUUUUUUUUUUUUUUACUAGCAAUUUGAUGUUUGAUCAUUUGAGGCAAUGAGGCGGAGGGUAAUUUACGUUAUCAGGGAGGUAUGAGGGGUGCUGGGAACCCAGACGCAAGGCCCAUUCGCCUGCUAAAGCGCCAUCGUAAUGUAAUGAGACUCCAGUCAAGUGCAGCUAGUAAUGGAGAGGAACGUUUCCCAUUCAUCUGCCUACCUGAGACUCCACGAAGACGACAAUAACUUUUGCACGGGAGGAGCAGGGGGGGACACGGUGAAGGGGGGGGCCGGUGUCCCCACGGCACAUCUCGCUCCGGCUGGCAGAGAACUACCAUGGCCUCACUCUGGGGAGCAGAGCAACACGGCUGUGAGCUGCGGAGCAGGUUGUUGGGUGGCUCAGCCUCCCCAUCUCGGACAUCCAGCCCACACCUGGCUUUGGUCCUGACCCAUAGCCCCCUAUCCUGGCUGUAGACACACUCUUGCCUCUGUAGCACCUCUGUGAUGGGGCCUUGGAAGUGGUACCGAUAACCACGUGCCCACCACCAGCACGGACAGCAAUGCACACACUCAAGUUCUCGCAAGUGGCCCUGCUGCUCUGCACACUUUAUUUGUAGGCCGAGGGUAAUUAUAGCUGGAGGGAACCUCCUGGAUGCAGGCAGACCUCCUGGCACUGACGGCCCAGUGCAUAGCAAAGGGUGGGUGGCAGGGGAGAGACACGGGGGCAGGAGAGAUUUGUUUCCUCUCUGUCCCAAGCUGGCUGCUUGUUCCCAGAACGCAGCCUGAGAAAGGGAGCGGGGAGCCGCCUGCUCCCCCUCACCAAAUUCCUGCCGCACGGACCCUUCCAAUUAUACCCACGUCUGAAAGGCUGCUGUCAGGAUGAAAGGCAUGGAGCAGUAAUGAACUGACGAUUAAUUUGCAGUUGGCUCACCCAGCGCGCGAUCCUCGCUCAGGCUCGCUGCGUGCGGGUGCUAAAUAUGACGAUGUCAGCAGUUGUCAGCCAGAGCUGGGGCUGCCCCUCACAUCAGCCUCUCCCUGCCACGGGCUCCAGCCUGGCCCCGGCUUCCCAGCCCAGGCAGCCCUGGGCCAGCCCCGCAGCAGCCACAGC